rnacentral:lncRNA from 1 species
AUGCUGAGGUUUAAGCCAACUUUUUCACUCUCCUCUUUCGCAUUCAUGAAGACGCUCUUCAGUUCCACUUCACUUUCUGCCAUAAGGGUGGGGUCAAUGCAUACAGAUGACAGAGCAACAGUUAGAACAGGACAUGGAACAACAGACUGGUUCCAAAUAGGAAAAGGAGUACAUCAAGGCUGCAUAUUGUCACCCUGCUUAUUUAACUUAUAUGCAGAGUACAUUAUGAGAAACGCUGGGCUGAAAGAAGCACAAGCUGGAAUCAAGAUAGUUGGGAGAAAUAUCAAUAACCUCAGAUAUGCAGAUGACACUACCCUUAUGGCAGAAAGUGAAGAGGAACUAAAAAGCCUCUUGAUGAAAGGAAAAGAGGAGAGUGAAAAAGUUGGCUUAAAGCUCAACAUUCAGAAAACGAAGAUCAUGGCAUCCGGUCCCAUCACUUCAUGGGAAAUAGAUGGGGAAACAGUGGAAACAGUGUCAGACUUUAUUUUGGGGGGCUCCAAUAUCACUGCAGAUGGUGACUGCAGCCAUGAAAUUAAAAGACGCUUACUCCUUGGAAGAAAAGUUAUGACCAACCUAGAUAGCAUAUUCAAAAGCAGAGACAUUACUCUGCCGACUAAGGUUCGUCUAGUCAAGGCUAUGGUUUUUCCUGUGGUCAUGUAUGGAUGUGAGAGUUGGACUGUGAAGAAGGCAGAGUGCCGAAGAAUUGAUGCUUUUGAACUGUGGUGUUGGAGAAGACUCUUGAGAGUCCCCUGGACUGCAAGGAGAUCCAACCAGUCCAUUCUGAAGGAGAUCAGCCCUGGGAUUUCUUUGGAAGGAAUGAUGCUAAAGCUGAAACUCCAGUACUUUGGCCACCUCAUGCGAAGAGUUGACUCAUUGAAAAAGACUCUGCUGCUGGGAGGGAUUGGGGGCAGGAGGAGAAGGGGACGACAGAGGAUGAGAUGGCUGGAUGGCAUCACGGACUCGAUGGACGUGAGUCUGAGUGAACUCCGGGAGAUGGUGAUGGACAGGGAGGCCUGGCAUGCUGUGAUUCAUGGGGUCGCAAAGAGUCAGACAGGACUGAGCAACUGA